GGGUUGUGAGGUUAAGCGACUAAGCGUACACGGUGGAUGCCCUGGCAGUCAGAGGCGAUGAAGGGCGUACUAAUCUGCGAUAAGCGCCGGUAAGGUGAUAUGAACCGUUAUAACCGGCGAUACCCGAAUGGGGAAACCCAGUGUGAUUCGUCACACUAUCAUUAACUGAAUCCAUAGGUUAAUGAGGCGAACCGGGGGAACUGAAACAUCUAAGUACCCCGAGGAAAAGAAAUCAACCGAGAUUCCCCCAGUAGCGGCGAGCGAACGGGGAGGAGCCCAGAGCCUGAAUCAGCAUGUGUUAGUGGAAGCGUCUGGAAAGGCGCGCGAUACAGGGUGACAGCCCCGUACACAAAAGCGCAUGUGCUGUGAGCUCGAUGAGUAGGGCGGGACACGUGGUAUCCUGUCUGAAUAUGGGGGGACCAUCCUCCAAGGCUAAAUACUCCUGACUGACCGAUAGUGAACCAGUACCGUGAGGGAAAGGCGAAAAGAACCCCGGCGAGGGGAGAAAAAGAACCUGAAACCGUGUACGUACAAGCAGUGGGAGCACAGGUUUACCUGUGUGACUGCGUACCUUUUGUAUAAUGGGUCAGCGACUUAUAUUCUGUAGCAAGGUUAACCGAAUAGGGGAGCCGGAGGGAAACCGAGUCUUAAUUGGGCGUUAAGUUGCAGGGUAUAGACCCGAAACCCGGUGAUCUAGCCAUGGGCAGGUUGAAGGUUGGGUAACACUAACUGGAGGACCGAACCGACUAAUGUUGAAAAAUUAGCGGAUGACCUGUGGCUGGGGGUGAAAGGCCAAUCAAACCGGGAGAUAGCUGGUUCUCCCCGAAAGCUAUUUAGGUAGCGCCUCGUGAAUUCAUCUCCGGGGGUAGAGCACUGUUUCGGCUAGGGGGCCAUCCCGGCUUACCAACCCGAUGCAAACUGCGAAUACCGGAGAAUGUUAUCACGGGAGACACACGGCGGGUGCUAACGUCCGUCGUGAAGAGGGAAACAACCCAGACCGCCAGCUAAGGUCCCAAAGUCAUGGUUAAGUGGGAAACGAUGUGGGAAGGCCCAGACAGCCAGGAUGUUGGCUUAGAAGCAGCCAUCAUUUAAAGAAAGCGUAAUAGCUCACUGGUCGAGUCGGCCUGCGCGGAAGAUGUAACGGGGCUAAACCAUGCACCGAAGCUGCGGCAGCGACGCUUAUGCGUUGUUGGGUAGGGGAGCGUUCUGUAAGCCUGCGAAGGUGGCCUGUGAGGGUUGCUGGAGGUAUCAGAAGUGCGAAUGCUGACAUAAGUAACGAUAAAGCGGGUGAAAAGCCCGCUCGCCGGAAGACCAAGGGUUCCUGUCCAACGUUAAUCGGGGCAGGGUGAGUCGACCCCUAAGGCGAGGCCGAAAGGCGUAGUCGAUGGGAAACGGGUUAAUAUUCCCGUACUUGGUGUUACUGCGAAGGGGGGACGGAGAAGGCUAUGUUGGCCGGGCGACGGUUGUCCCGGUUUAAGCGUGUAGGUGUGUGUUCCAGGUAAAUCCGGUUCACUUUAACACUGAGGCGUGACGACGAGGCACUACGGUGCUGAAGCAACAAAUGCCCUGCUUCCAGGAAAAGCCUCUAAGCAUCAGGUAACAUCAAAUCGUACCCCAAACCGACACAGGUGGUCAGGUAGAGAAUACCAAGGCGCUUGAGAGAACUCGGGUGAAGGAACUAGGCAAAAUGGUGCCGUAACUUCGGGAGAAGGCACGCUGACACGUAGGUGAAGUGAUUUACUCAUGGAGCUGAAGUCAGUCGAAGAUACCAGCUGGCUGCAACUGUUUAUUAAAAACACAGCACUGUGCAAACACGAAAGUGGACGUAUACGGUGUGACGCCUGCCCGGUGCCGGAAGGUUAAUUGAUGGGGUCAGCGCAAGCGAAGCUCCUGAUCGAAGCCCCGGUAAACGGCGGCCGUAACUAUAACGGUCCUAAGGUAGCGAAAUUCCUUGUCGGGUAAGUUCCGACCUGCACGAAUGGCGUAAUGAUGGCCAGGCUGUCUCCACCCGAGACUCAGUGAAAUUGAACUCGCUGUGAAGAUGCAGUGUACCCGCGGCAAGACGGAAAGACCCCGUGAACCUUUACUAUAGCUUGACACUGAACAUUGAGCCUUGAUGUGUAGGAUAGGUGGGAGGCUUUGAAGUGUGGACGCCAGUCUGCAUGGAGCCGACCUUGAAAUACCACCCUUUAAUGUUUGAUGUUCUAACGUGGACCCGUUACCCGGGUUGCGGACAGUGUCUGGUGGGUAGUUUGACUGGGGCGGUCUCCUCCUAAAGAGUAACGGAGGAGCACGAAGGUUGGCUAAUCCUGGUCGGACAUCAGGAGGUUAGUGCAAUGGCAUAAGCCAGCUUGACUGCGAGCGUGACGGCGCGAGCAGGUGCGAAAGCAGGUCAUAGUGAUCCGGUGGUUCUGAAUGGAAGGGCCAUCGCUCAACGGAUAAAAGGUACUCCGGGGAUAACAGGCUGAUACCGCCCAAGAGUUCAUAUCGACGGCGGUGUUUGGCACCUCGAUGUCGGCUCAUCACAUCCUGGGGCUGAAGUAGGUCCCAAGGGUAUGGCUGUUCGCCAUUUAAAGUGGUACGCGAGCUGGGUUUAGAACGUCGUGAGACAGUUCGGUCCCUAUCUGCCGUGGGCGCUGGAGAACUGAGGGGGGCUGCUCCUAGUACGAGAGGACCGGAGUGGACGCAUCACUGGUGUUCGGGUUGUCAUGCCAAUGGCACUGCCCGGUAGCUAAAUGCGGAAGAGAUAAGUGCUGAAAGCAUCUAAGCACGAAACUUGCCCCGAGAUGAGUUCUCCCUGAGACUUAGAGUCUCCUGAAGGAACGUUGAAGACGACGACGUUGAUAGGCCGGGUGUGUAAGCGCAGCGAUGCGUUGAGCUAACCGGUACUAAUGAACCGUGAGGCUUAACCUUACAACGCCGAAG
rnacentral:rRNA from 1 species